rnacentral:rRNA from 1 species
UCGCCCUACGGGACGCAGCAGUGAGGAAUAUUGGUCAAUGGGCGAGAGCCUGAACCAGCCAAGUCGCGUGAGGGAUGACUGCCCUAUGGGUUGUAAACCUCUUUUGUAUGGGGGGAAUAAGCUUUACGAGUAGAGUGAUGACAGUACCAUACGAAUAAGGAUCGGCUAACUCCGUGCCAGCAGCCGCGGUAAUACGGAGGAUCCGAGCGUUAUCCGGAUUUAUUGGGUUUAAAGGGUGCGUAGGCGGUUUGAUAAGUUAGAGGUGAAAUGUCGGGGCUCAACCCCGAAACUGCCUCUAAUACUGU